UUAGAGUUUGAUCCUGGCUCAGGAUGAACGCUGGCGGCGUGCUUAACACAUGCAAGUCGAACGAAGCACCUUGAUUUGAUUCUUCGGAUGAAGAUCUUGGUGACUGAGUGGCGGACGGGUGAGUAACGCGUGGGUAACCUGCCCUGUACACACGGAUAACAUACCGAAAGGUAUGCUAAUACGAGAUAAUAUGCUUUUAUCGCAUGGUAGAAGUAUCAAAGCUCCGGCGGUACAGGAUGGACCCGCGUCUGAUUAGGUAGUUGGUGGGGUAACGGCCUACCAAGCCGACGAUCAGUAGCCGACCUGAGAGGGUGACCGGCCACAUUGGGACUGAGACACGGCCCAAACUCCUACGGGAGGCAGCAGUGGGGAAUAUUGCACAAUGGGGGGAAACCCUGAUGCAGCGACGCCGCGUGGAGGAAGAAGGCCUUCGGGUCGUAAAGCUCUGUCCUCAAGGAAGAUAAUGACGGUACUUGAGGAGGAAGCCCCGGCUAACUACGUGCCAGCAGCCGCGGUAAUACGUAGGGGGCUAGCGUUAUCCGGAAUUACUGGGCGUAAAGGGUGCGUAGGUGGUUUCUUAAGUCAGAGGUGAAAGGCUACGGCUCAACCGUAGUAAGCCUUUGAAACUGGGAAACUUGAGUGCAGGAGAGGAGAGUGGAAUUCCUAGUGUAGCGGUGAAAUGCGUAGAUAUUAGGAGGAACACCAGUUGCGAAGGCGGCUCUCUGGACUGUAACUGACACUGAGGCACGAAAGCGUGGGGAGCAAACAGGAUUAGAUACCCUGGUAGUCCACGCCGUAAA
rnacentral:rRNA from 1 species